rnacentral:rRNA from 1 species
UACAGAGGGGGCGAGCGUUGUUCGGAAUUACUGGGCGUAAAGGGCGCGUAGGCGGCCUUCUAAGUCGAACGUGAAAUCCCCGGGCUCAACCCGGGAACUGCGUCCGAUACUGGGAGGCUUGAAUCCGGGAGAGGGAUGUGGAAUUCCAGGUGUAGCGGUGAAAUGCGUAGAUAUCUGGAGGAACACCGGUGGCGAAGGCGGCAUCCUGGACCGGUAUUGACGCUGAGGCGCGAAAGCCAGGGGAGCAAACGGGG